CCUACGGGGGGCAGCAGUGGGGAAUAUUGCACAAUGGGGGGAACCCUGAUGCAGCGACGCCGCGUGAGUGAAGAAGUAUUUCGGUAUGUAAAGCUCUAUCAGCAGGGAAGAAGAUGACGGUAACUGACUAAGAAGCCCCGGCUAAAUACGUGCCAGCAGCCGCGGUAAUACGUAUGGUGCAAGCGUUAUCCGGAUUUACUGGGUGUAAAGGGAGCGCAGGCGGUGCGGCAAGUCUGAUGUGAAAGCCCGGGGCUCAACCCCGGGACUGCUUUGGGAAC
rnacentral:rRNA from 1 species